GAGUAAAAUUUUUGUCUGAAAUCUUGGUGGACAUAUCUUAGUUUGUAUGUCUGCUGUAAGGCCGGACAUAUACAGGGGGCGCUGUCAUUCCAUAUGGCUGACUCAAGACAUAGUCUGCUGUGGAUGAUGGAGCACAAAGUUGGGGUC
rnacentral:snoRNA from 1 species